rnacentral:rRNA from 1 species
UACGUAGGGGGCAAGCGUUGUCCGGAAUCAUUGGGCGUAAAGAGCGUGUAGGCGGCUUGGUAAGUCCGCUGUGAAAGUCCAGGGCUCAACCCUGGAAUGCCGGUGGAAACUGUCAAGCUUGAGUCCGGGAAGAGGCGAGUGGAAUUCCUGGUGUAGCGGUGAAAUGCGCAGAUAUCAGGAGGAACACCAAUGGCGAAGGCGGUUCUCUGGGACGGUACUGACGCUGAGACGCGAAAGCGUGGGGAGCGAACAGG